GCUUUAUAAAGAUAUAUUUAUUAAAGUACAUCAUAUACGGUGAAAAACAGUAUAGAAUGUCAGAGGUAAUAGCUAUUUUAGGUACUGUGGAUCUUAAGCAAAAAGAGUCAAAAUCGACCAAAUUUGGUCCCUUAAAUAUUUUUUUUGCAGAAAUAUAGCCAAAACAUGACUCACUACACUUAAAGAUUAUGUAUUUAGCUAAUCAUUAAUGAAAAAAUAUCUCUGGGUAAACAUAUUUUAAAUCAAUGGCGGAUAAUUCAAAUUGGGUCAUAUUAGGGGUGUAAACUGUUCAUGAAGGUCAAUUUUUUAUAUGAUUGCUAUCAUACCAGACAAUUUCCACCAUAUAAACCAACUUACAUGUUAUAUUUAUGUUGGUGUUUGUUGAAUAUGUUUGUUCAAAUGACUGACCUAUGGUUGACAAUAAAAAACCUUAAUGCAAACCUUUAAAAAAGAGGGGGCGGGUAGUGAUAUAAAUUUUUUUUUUUUUUUUUUUUUUUUUUUUUUUUUUUUUCACAAAAAAUUUAGAAAUAUAGAGGCACUAAAAUCAAAGAAUUUUGGGAUGGAUACUACGAAUGAUUUUCUUUUAAUACAGAGAUAAACAAAAUUGGUUCAUCACUAGGUUCAUUAUAUUUAUACUAGAGUUUCUAAAGAGCUUGUGUCGCUCACCUUGGUCUAUGUAAAUAUUAAACAAAGGAAGCAGAUUGAUUCAUGACAAAAUUGUGUUUUGGUGAUGGCAAGACAAGACAAAAUGUUUUAUUUCCUCAGACACAAACGUGUAUAAGAGGUCAAAACAUAAUAAAGUAUACAUAUAAAUCGAUGGUGAUGUGUUCGGACAUCUGACUUUACUAAACAUUCUUACUGCUUACAAUUAUCUCUAUCUAUAAUGAACUUGGCCUAGUAGUUUCAGUGGAAAAUGUUAGAAAAAAUUGACAAAUUUUAUGAAAAUUGUUAAAAAUUGACUAUAAAGGACUUAGGGGGCCAAUUGACCAUUUUGGUCAAAUUGACUUGUUUUAGGUCUUACUUUGUUGUACAUUAUUGCUGUUUACAGUUUAUCUCUAUCUAUAAUAAUAUUUAAGAUAAUAACCAAAAACAGCAAAAUUACCUUAAAAUUACAAAUUCAGGGGCAGCAACCCAACAACGAGUUGUCCGAUUCAUCUGAAAAUUUCAAGGCAGAUAGAUUUUGAACUGAUAAACAAAAUUAUCCAUCCCAGAUUUGCUCUAAAUGCUUUGGUUUUUUAGUUAUAAGCCAAAAUCUGCAUUUUAUGUUCAAUUUUUAGCCGUGGCGGUCAUCUUAGUUAGAUGGCCGUGUCACCGGACACAUUUUAAAACUAAAUACCCCAAAGAUGAUUGUGGCCAAGUUUAGAUUAAUUUUGGCUAGUAGUUUCAGAGGAGGAGAUUUUUUUAAAAGAUUACUAAGAUUUACGAAAAUAUGUUAAAAAUUGACUAUAAAGGGCAACAACUCCUAAAGGGGUCAACUGACUAUUUCGGUCAUGUUGACUUAUUUGUAAAUCUUACUUUGCUGAACAUUAUUGCUGUUUACAGUUUAUCUCUAUCUAUAAUAAGAUUCAAG
rnacentral:lncRNA from 1 species